rnacentral:rRNA from 1 species
UACGGAGGGAGCAAGCGUUACUCGGAAUUAUUGGGCGUAAAGGGCGCGUAGGCGAUUUGAAAAGUCUUGUGUGAAAGCCCCGAGCUUAACUCGGGAAGUGCACAAGAAACUGUUGAAUUUGAGUUCCGGAGAGGAAGGCAGAAUUCCCGGUGUAGCGGUGAAAUGCGUAGAUAUCGGGAGGAAUACCAGUGGCGAAGGCGGCCUUCUGGACGGAUACUGACGCUGAGGCGCGAAAGCC